AUUGAACGCUGGCGGCAGGCCUAACACAUGCACGUCGAACGAGUGGCGGACGGGUGAGUAAUGUCUGGGAAACUGCCUGAUGGAUGGGGAUAUCUACUGGAAACGGUAGCUAAUACAGCAUACCAUCGGAUGUGCCCAGAUGGGAUUAGCUAGUAGGUGGGGUAAAGGCCCACCUAGGCGCCGAUCCCUAGCUGGUCUGAGCGGAUGACCAGCCAAACUGGAACUGAGACACUGUCCAGGCUCGUACGGGAGGCAGCAGUGGGGAAUAUUGCAAAAUGGGCGCAAGCCUGAUGAAGCCAUGCCGCGUGUAUGAAGAAGGCCUUCGGGUUGUAAAGUACUUUCAGCGGGGAGGCGUUACCCGCAGAAGAAGCACGGGCUAACUCCGUGCCAGCAACCGCGGUAAUUC
rnacentral:rRNA from 1 species